rnacentral:rRNA from 1 species
AACGAACGCUGGCGGCGUGCCUAACACAUGCAAGUCGAACGGAGGCAGGGGGCUUGCUCCUUGCUUUAGUGGCGCACGGGUGAGUAACGCGUGGAUAAUCUGCCCGAUGCUCAGGGAUAACAUCUCGAAAGGGGUGCUAAUACCUGAUAAGCCCACGGACUCCUUGGAGUUUGCGGGAAAAGGGGGGGACCUUCGGGCCUCCCGACAUCGGAUGAGUCCGCGUCCCAUUAGCUAGUUGGUGGGGUAAAGGCCUACCAAGGCGACGAUGGGUAGCUGGUCUGAGAGGAUGAUCAGCCACACUGGAACUGAGACACGGUCCAGACUCCUACGGGAGGCAGCAGUGGGGAAUUUUGCGCAAUGGGGGAAACCCUGACGCAGCAACGCCGCGUGAGUGAUGAAGGCCCUUGGGUCGUAAAGCUCUGUCAGAGGGAAAGAAAUGUGGGCGGCUAAUAUCUGUACCACUUGACGGUACCCUCAAAGGAAGCACCGGCUAACUCCGUGCCAGCAGCCGCGGUAAUACGGAGGGUGCGAGCGUUGUUCGGAAUUAUUGGGCGUAAAGCGCGUGUAGGCGGCUUAUUAAGUCUGAUGUGAAAGCCCUGGGCUCAACCUGGGAAGUGCAUUGGAUACUGGUAGACUUGAGUACGGGAGAGGGCAGUGCAAUUC